rnacentral:rRNA from 1 species
GACGAACGCUGGCGGCGUGCUUAACACAUGCAAGUCGAACGCAGUGGCGAACGGGUGAGUAACGCGUAAUCAACCUGCCCUUCAGCGGGUGACAACAGUUUGAAACGACUGCUCAUACCGCAUACUGAAGGUGUGGCUUGCGUCUGUUUAGCUAGUUGGAGGGGUAACGGCCCACCAAGGCGAUGAUCAGUAGCCGGUCUGAGAGGAGGAACGGGCAAAUAUGGACGGAGACACGGCCCAGAAUCCGACGGGAGGCAGCAGUGGGGAAUCUUCCGCAAUGGACGAAAGGCUGACGGAGCAACGCCGCGGGAGUGAUGACGGGCUUCGGGUUGUAAAGCUCUGUUAAUCGGGACGCGGUACCGGAAUAGAAAGCCACGGCUAACUACGUGCCAGCAGCCGCGGUAAUAC